rnacentral:rRNA from 1 species
UACAGAGGUCUCAAGCGUUGUUCGGAUUCAUUGGGCGUAAAGGGUGCGUAGGCGGCGAGGCAAGUCUGGUGUGAAAUCCCGGGGCUCAACCCCGGAACUGCACUGGAUACUGCUUUGCUAGAGUACUGGAGAGGGAACUGGAAUUUACGGUGUAGCAGUGAAAUGCGUAGAUAUCGUAAGGAAGACCAGUGGCGAAGGCGAAUCUCUGGACAGUGACUGACGCUGAGACGCGAAAGCGUGGGGAGCAAACAGG